rnacentral:rRNA from 1 species
AGCUCCAAUAGCGUAUAUUAAAGUUGUUGCGGUUAAAAAGCUCGUAGUUGGAUUUCUGUCAGAAACUCUCGGUCCACGCUUUGCGUGAGUAUCUGAGUAGGUUCCGGCAUCCUCUAGAGGAUCGUUUCUGCGCUUGAUUGCGUGGAGCGGAACUCUAGACUUUUACUUUGAGGAAAUUAGAGUGUUCACGGCAGGCAAACGCCUUGAAUACAUUAGCAUGGAAUAAUAACAUAGGGCCUUGGUUCUAUUUUGUUGGUUUCUAGAGCUGAGGUAAUGAUUAAUAGGGAUAAUUGGGGGCAUUUGUAUUAACGCGUCAGAGGUGGAAUUCUUGGAUUGCGUUACGACAAACUACUGCGAAAGCAUUUGCCAAGGAUGUUUUCA